UGGGGAAUAUUGCACAAUGGGCGCAAGCCUGAUGCAGCCACGCCGCGUGAACGAUGAAGGUCUUCGGAUCGUAAAGUUCUGUUGCAGGGGAAGAUAAUGACGGUACCCUGUGAGGAAGCCCCGGCUAACUACGUGCCAGCAGCCGCGGUAAUACGUAGGGGGCUAGCGUUAUCCGGAUUUACUGGGCGUAAAGGGUGCGUAGGUGGUCUUUCAAGUCGGUGGUUAAAGGCUACGGCUCAACCGUAGUUAGCCUCCGAAACUGGAAGACUUGAGUGCAGGAGAGGAAAGUGGAAUUCCCAGUGUAGCGGUGAAAUGCGUAGAUAUUGGGAGGAACACCAGUAGCGAAGGCGGCUUUCUGGACUGCAACUGACACUGAGGCACGAAAGCGUGGGUAGCAAACAGG
rnacentral:rRNA from 1 species